AAUUUCCUUCGGUCAUCAUGAUGAAGGUGAUGUAUAGCUUGGGGGUUGUGUCCACCGCAUUAUGAGUCCAGCAUGGGGUCCAGCAGUUUGAGUCCAGCACGAGCUUUGCAACGAAGCCCAAGUUUAAGUGUUGUCCAGGAAGGAUUCAUAGUCCGCGGCUUUUCUGGAAUGGAAAGUGCGAGACUGAAUGUGAACUUGGCUCGCAUGCUUCAUACACCUCCUUUCGAUUUUCGGUUGGUAACUCUUGCACCUGAAUGCCAUUAUCCGCAAACAAGUGGAGGUUGCAUCUGGUUGCUAUAUUCGGUCUGUUUGUCGAUAUUGGGGGC
rnacentral:lncRNA from 1 species